ACUCACACCACAACAACAACAUUCUAGAUGAUGUACUACACACACUACAAGACACUAGUAGCAAGCACGGACAGCCAAGAAGCUGUCACGACUAAAAGCGUAGGCGAAAACUGUGCGAUUAUAACAAAUAGUUAAGCUCCAAACGACAGGCUUUUUAUAGCAAAAGCCACCCGCGAUACAGUGUCUUGCAAAAAUAUCGCCACACAUGCACCGAAGCGAGCGCCAUUUCAAAUUGAAUGGACAAUCAAAUGUAGAGCACUACCGUUCCGUACAAGAGAACAAAACUUCUAUUCCUUGAAAAUGGUAAAAUACAUUACCGAAACCGUCGGAAAUUGAAGCAAUAUUGUUCUUGCUGCUCUGAAAGACUGCCAAGGCCGGAAAACAUAACGUUUCUCUAGCUACAAUAUCCAGUCGUUAAGCAAUCCUUCCGUUGAAUAUUAUAG